CAGUCGCCACGGGAAUACGAAGGGGGCUAGCGUUGCUCGGAAUCACUGGGCGUAAAGGGCGCGUAGGCGGCGUUUUAAGUCGGGGGUGAAAGCCUGUGGCUCAACCACAGAAUGGCCUUCGAUACUGGGACGCUUGAGUAUGGUAGAGGUUGGUGGAACUGCGAGUGUAGAGGUGAAAUUCGUAGAUAUUCGCAAGAACACCGGUGGCGAAGGCGGCCAACUGGACCAUUACUGACGCUGAGGCGCGAAAGCGUGGGGAGCAAACAGGAUUAGAUACCCCAGUAGUCCCUGUCUCUUAUAU
rnacentral:rRNA from 1 species